CAAUUUUUCCUGUUACAAUCUCGAUGUAGAAAGCAGAAAACACAACAGGAAGUGUUGCAUUUAAAACCUGUUUCCCUGUGGUUUCACUUCUGAAAAACAAGCUUCCUGAUCAGAACUUAGUCACCGAGUUUCAAGGUCUUUUUCAACAACGCAUAUAUUAACAAUAUCUAAGGUCAUGUUUGUUUUAUCUAUAUUACUGAUACUUGUAAUAUUCAACAGAGACCACAGUAGCUUAUCCUGGCCUAUCACCUUAGCUUCAUUUAAACGUAUUUGAUUACAAAAUGUAUUACAGUUUGGUUAGUCAAUGCCACAUAAACCAACUUCACCGAUUUUCUUUUUUUAUUUGUUUUCCCCACAUACAUAGAAUAUCGUACUUUUGACUUUUUCAUGUUACACAGGUCAGAAAAAGAGAAGUCGAAUAAUAAAACAGAAGCACAGAGAGGAUGAUGAUCAUCAGCAUCAGCAAGACAAGGUCAUUUGCAGUAAAGAAUGAUGCAGUGAUUGGAUAAAAUUAUUUCACAUCAUUGUGAA